UGCGUAGGCGGAAUAAUAAGUCAGUGGUGAAAUCCUGUGGCUCAACCACAGAACUGCCAUUGAUACUGUUAUUCUUAAAUAUAGUUGAGGUAGGCGGAAUGUGUAAUGUAGCGGUGAAAUGCUUAGAUAUUACACAGAACACCGAUUGCGAAGGCAGCUUGCUAAACUAUUAUUGACGCUGAGGCACGAAAGCGUGGGGAGCGAACAGGAUUAGAUACCCUGGUAGUCC
rnacentral:rRNA from 1 species